rnacentral:lncRNA from 1 species
UUUGUCGGACUGCGUCUACUUUAGGAUUUCAGUAUUUUGUCACUUUCAUUGAUGACUAUUCUCGAUGUACUUGGUUAUUUUUAAUGAAAAAUCGAGCUGAGUUAUUCUCUAUUUUCCAGAAAUUUUAUACUGAAAUCCAAACCCAGUUCAAUAUUUCUAUUCGUGUGUUACGCAGUGACAAUGCCAGGGAAUAUUUUUCAGCCCAAUUUACUUCGUUUAUGUCUCAUCAUGGAAUUCUUCAUCAGUCUUCUUGUGCUCAUACUCCUCAACAAAAUGGGGUAGCUGAACGCAAGAAUCGACAUCUUGUUGAGACAGCUCGUACUCUCCUCCUCCAUAGUCACGUUCCUUUUCGUUUUUGGGGGGACGCUAUUCUUACCGCUUGUUAUCUGAUUAAUCGUAUGCCCUCCUCUGUCUUACACGAUCAGAUUCCUCACUCCCUUCUUUUCCCUGACCAACCACUUUAUUUCCUUCCUCCUCGUGUCUUUGGUUGUACUUGCUUUGUUCAUAUUCUCACUCCUGGACAGGACAAGCUUUCCGCCAAAGCCAUGAAGUGCCUCUUCUUGGGAUAUUCCAGACUUCAGAAGGGUUAUCGUUGUUAUUCCCUUGAGACUCAUCGGUACUUUAUCUCCGCUGAUGUCACCUUCUUUGAGGACUCACCAUUCUUUUCCACCACUUCUGAGUCUCUUCCCGUUUCUGAAGUCUUGCCCAUUCCCAUUGUCUCCCCACCUGAAGCUAUGCCCCCUCGACCACUUCAGGUUUAUCAUCGUCGCCCGCGUGUCGUUGCUCCUCUCCCUUUUCCUGAGGCACCUGCUGACUCACUUCCUAUCCCUUCGGCUUCACCUGCCCCGACUCUGCCUUCUCCUCAUGACUUACCCAUUGCUGUUCGGAAAGGUACUCGCUCUACUCGUAACCCUCAUCCUAUUUACAAUUUUUUGAGUUAUCAUCGAUUAUCUUCACCCUAUUCUGCUUUUGUUUCUGCUAUAUCCUCUGUUUCUCUUCCCAAGAGCACCCAUGAAGCUCUUUCCCAUCCAGGCUGGCGACAGGCAAUGGUGGAUGAAAUGGUUGCUCUGCACUCUAAUGGCACUUGGGAUCUUGUUGUUUUACCCCCUGGUAAAUCUACAGUUGGUUGUCGUUGGGUCUAUGCAGUUAAGGUUGGUCCUGAUGGUCAGGUUGAUCGCCUUAAGGCCCGCUUAGUUGCUAAAGGCUAUACUCAAGUUUAUGGUUCUGAUUAUGGUGACACAUUCUCCCCUGUUGCCAAGAUUGCUUCUGUCCGCUUGCUUCUCUCCAUGGCUGCUAUGUGCUCUUGGCCUCUUUAUCAACUGGAUAUUAAAAAUGCCUUCCUUCAUGGUGAUCUUGUCGAGGAAGUUUAUAUGGAGCAACCUCCUGGUUUUGUUGCUCAGGGGGAGUCUGGUUUAGUGUGCAGGUUACGCCGUUCUCUAUAUGGCUUGAAACAAUCUCCUCGAGUAUGGUUUAGCCGUUUUAGUUCUGUUGUUCAAGAGUUUGGCAUGCUUCGCAGUACAGCAGACCAUUCAGUUUUUUAUCAUCAUAACUCCUUGGGGCAGUGUAUUUAUCUGGUUGUUUAUGUGAACGACAUCGUCAUUACAGGCAGUGAUCAGGAUGGUAUACAGAAACUAAAGCAACAUCUUUUUACCCACUUUCAGACCAAAGACUUGGGAAAACUCAAGUAUUUCUUGGGAAUUGAGAUAGCUCAAUCCAGUUCUGGUGUAGUCCUUUCUCAAAGGAAGUAUGCUUUAGACAUCCUGGAAGAAACCGGUAUGUUAGACUGUAAACCGGUAGACACACCUAUGGAUCCGAAUGUCAAACUUGUACCAGGACAGGGGGAACCUUUAGGAGACCCUGGGAGAUAUCGACGGCUCGUAGGUAAAUUGAACUAUCUCACCAUUACUCGUCCAGACAUUUCUUUUCCUGUGAGUGUUGUUAGUCAAUUCCUACAGUCACCAUGUGAUAGCCAUUGGGAUGCCGUAAUCCGUAUUCUUCGAUAUAUCAAAAGUACACCAGGCCAAGGUGUAUUGUACGAGAACAGAGGUCAUACUCAAGUUGUUGGUUACACAGAUGCAGAUUGGGCUGGGUCACCCACAGAUAGACGUUCCACUUCAGGGUACUGUGUUUUUAUUGGAGGUAAUCUAAUAUCUUGGAAGAGUAAGAAACAAGAUGUAGUGGCCAGAUCUAGCGCUGAAGCCGAGUAUCGAGCUAUGGCUUUGGCAACAUGUGAACUCAUAUGGUUGAGACAUCUUCUUCAGGAGUUGCGAUUUGGAAAGGAUGAACAGAUGAAACUCAUCUGUGAUAACCAGGCCGCAUUACAUAUUGCAUCCAAUCCAGUCUUCCAUGAAAGGACCAAGCAUAUUGAAGUUGACUGUCAUUUCAUUAAAGAGAAGAUCGCAUCAGGAUGUGUUGCUACAAGUUUUGUCAAUUCAAAUGAUCAACUAGCAGACAUCUUCACUAAAUCUCUCAGAGGUCCUAGGAUUAAAUAUAUUUGUAACAAGCUUGGUGCAUAUGACGUAUAUGCUCCAGCUUGAGGGGGAGUGUUGAAUAUAAUGUAUGUAUAGUAUACUAUCUUUCCUUGUUAAUAUAGGUCACAUGUAUGGUAGUUAGGACUCCUAGUAAACACCAAUGACAUGUUACAAUUGAAAAGACCCUACAAAGCCAUCAGUCUUGAUGUUUGUAAGUUGUGUAUGGAGCAUGGAGAAUCAAUAGAUCAGUUCUUUUUACAUUGUCCUUUGGCGCUAAAACUAUGGUACAAAUUAUUUGGAUUGACCAAGAUGGAUUGGACUCUUCCAAAGAGUAUUUAUGAUAUGAUGACCAUCUCAUUAAAAGAUUGGGAAGCUCUAAGGGAGGCCUAGCACUAUGGAAACUGUUUGUCUUGCUUUGAUUUUGGGUUGUGUGGCAAGAAAAAAGUGUUAGGAUUUUUUAGGACAAGGCAAGGACUUUAGAGGUUCUUUGAGAUACCAUUCAUUUCCUUACUUCUUUUUAGGCCUCUUACACUACAACUUUUAAGGGCAUUUCCCUUAAUGUGGUUCAACUUGAUUGGUUAUCGAUAUAUAGUUCCAAGGGUGUGGGUUAGUAAGGAGAGGUUGCUAUUUGUAUUUACCAUAUGGUUUAUGUUGUACCAUAGGUGUUUAGGUUUAUUUAGUACUUUGGAGGUUCCAUUGUUUAGUUUUUAUUUGUGGGAGGAUUCCUCACCCUUCUAUUGUAAUCUUAAAUCCUAUUUUAAUAUAUUACAUUGUUAUUUCUCAUAAAAAAUAAAAAUAGAAGAAAAAAGAUUGAACAUGAAUAUAUCCAAAUAAUAAUAAUAAUACAUGAAAAGACCUUUUGGAUAAAAAUUCAAGGAAAAAACAAAAGGAAGAAUUCAUAGCCAGUCAACAUUGCUAAGAAAACAGAAAGAUAUUAACAUUUCUUGUAGGUUUUUGAUUAUCUCCCUAUUCCAAUUCAACCACAGUCCCCCUCCCCCGCCAUCUCCCAUGGGGUAAGAGCUAAAAGGGAAAACAACAUGUCUGCCCUAGAGUUCAAUAGAAGUUAACGUCAUUGGUAAGAUCAUGUUCUGAUGAUUUUAGUGAUAGAUAGCUUAAUCAUGUAACAAACUAAAAGUUCAAAAUCCUUAUCAGAUGCCUUACUCUAAAAAGAAAACAGCAUGUCUGCCACAGAGUUCAAGAGAAGUUAACGUCAUUGGUAAGAUCAUGUUCUGAUGAUUUUAGAGAUAGAUAGCUUAAUCAUGUACCAACCUAAAGUUCAAAAUCCUUAUCAGAUGCCUUACUCAUAUUCAUUUUUCUUUAAGUCCACAAAAGCACAACUAGCAUGUCUCAUAAAAGAGUUGGACCACCUAUUCAUUUACUGCAAUUAUCAAUUGUUCAACUCAAUACAGCCUCAUCCUAAAUACACACAUACAGCAUACGAAGUCAGCUAAAGAAACACAACAAAUGCAUCCUGAAUUUGUAACCACAAACAACCAAGGGAUAAGCAUUGAUGUAUGUGUAAGAAUGAAUCUUCAUAGAAUCAGAUCAGUAAGAGUAUAAAUAGAUAAGUACCCAAAUAGUGCCAACAAUUGAACCGAGUAACCAUGCACAGAUACAUAAAUAGUAAAGGCUCAAUCUAGUAAAUAGCCAUGCUCUAAUCUGAUCAAAUUGUGUAAAGUUUGGCCACCAGAAUUCCAAAGAGAAAAAAAAUACCUGAAAUGUUACACCCUUUUCAGUAAUGUCAGCUAAAUGCAACAAUGACACCUGAAGAGAUUAAAUAAUAAAUUGUGAGCUGAAUUGCAAGUAUAAGAAAUCCUAGAAACCUGUUGCCAUUAUAAAAGAGAUCCAUGAAGAUUGUGAUCACCAAAAUGGACACUUAACAAGGUGACAUCAUCAACUGAAAUAUUACACUUUAACAGCAAUACCAGUCAAAAAGACACAGUGAGGGGGAGAGGAAUUCAUCCAUAAUUACGUUUACACAAAAAAAAAAAAAAGGGAACCGUGUAUUAUUCAUUAAUGAGUACAGACCACAAGUUAAUGUACAAUUCACCCAUGCAUAUUAGUUUUUGUUACCUUUUAGGUUGUCAGUUUCCGCAAGUAAUCAAACUAUAUAAAGAAUGAAGUUUGAGAUUUUUAUCACAAAAAUGGCAUUUACAAAUGAAUUAAAAAUGAAAUUAAAUGAAACCGCAACAAUCUUCCUCUCCAGAGAAUACUUCUUGCAUCAAUUGUAAAUUUUGUGUACAUACAAAUUGAUUAUCCAGAAAUUUAAAUGAAAACAUCAAUGAACUUAUCUCAUGUCUGUUGCUCACUGAAUGCUGUCAGUAUGUUGUGGUAGUUCAUAGUCCCCCAUUUUUUUCCAAAUAACAAUAAUUCAUUUAUAAUGUAAGUGUAGAAGAUUGAAAAAAGGACACCAGUCUACAAAAUAUCCCUAUUAGUAAAAGUAGUUUAGUUUUGCAACGCAUAUACAGCUUCAGUCAUUUUUUAAUAAGAACUAUAAUCUUUUCUUCAUAAAAUUUUCUUAAAUUAUGGCUUUACAAGGAAAACAAGAGCUAACUCAGCCAAAAAGUUGCUUCAUACAUUUCAACACUCUGGAUCUCUUGUUUUAUGGCAUUGCAAUUACUUAGUAGCAGAAUCAAAGGUGAAUAUUCCACGAAGAUCAAGCCAUUCAAACUUCUAGGAAUAUAAUAUAUUUAACCAAUUAGAAUACUAGAAGUCAGGAAGAGCUCUUUCUCUUUAGGAUUUUUGAUGUACACCAUCCUAAUGAUAAGUGAUAGUAAAACCUAAGAUGUCUUUCUUCAGGGUCAAGUUCGCUAUUAUAGCAUGUACAAAAAUGCUGAAAUGGAACUUGAAAAAUAAAAUUGAAAUUCAAUACCAAGACUAAGAACAGAUACUAAUAAUUUUUAUUUUUUUUUUUUGGAUAAGUUAAGAACAGAUGCUAAUGAUAAUAGGUGAUGUGAUGAAGUACUUAGAUGUCAUAGUGCAUACCACUAAUAUUUAGAAUGCAAAUAUUUCACAGUGAUUAAACAAAUAAAGGGUAUCAAAGAACAAAAUAGGUGGAGCCAUCCAGGUACAAAAUGGAAGUCAUAAGGAUCGUUUUGGAUGCAAAAACUAUGAGACCGUAUCCAUAAGGUAGUAUCUGGAAGCAAGGAAUUGUAAUUAUUAAAAUACUAAGAAUGACAAAUCCUGUUCUAAUAAAAAAAAGAAUGACAAAACCCUGUAAUGGUAGGGACUACAAUCGUAAUAUCACAAGACAAUAGCAACAACAGUAAUAAUAAAGAUUCAAAACUGUAUAUCACUGUUUGAAACAUAAUAAACAACCAUUUGAAAGCCGCCGGAGUCUGUAAGCAGUGCUCUUGGCCAGUUCAUAAAUUUGUGGAGACCCCCCAAUUCAUCGAUCAGCUCAGAACUAGGGCGAAGUGCCAAAUGAUAUGUAUUGCCAAGUAUUAUUUGGCAACCAAUUUCCUCAAGCUGGUUGGUUGUUAAACCUUUUAUUGUCCCUGUAACAAGAAAACCCAAUCUCAUGCCAUCAAUCACAGAUAUUUGAUACCAUCAAAUGCGUGUGUAAGCAUGUUAUAAAUAUCAUGCCAUGGUCAACAAACAGCUACUUAAUAAAGGCAUCCCAGUACAAUGAUAAAGGCAUCCAAGAGAGGGGGGGUUAUGGGUAAUGUCAAUUAAUACUGGAUUUGUUAUUAAUUGUUAGUACCCGCAUGGAUCCAAAAUAUACUUAACAGCAUUGGCCAUGGACAGUUACAAUAAAACAUUAAAUACAUCUACUGAGUUGAGAGCUAGUAUAGAGAACCAAUACUCCAUUUGCUUCAAUAAAAAGGAACAAUGACAACAGAAUUUUUACAUUCCAAUAUAGCAUGUGAAGGUAAUGGAAGUAGUCUUACAGUUACUCAGUAACCAUACAAGCAUUGCAAUAAACUAAGAAGAUAUAAGACAGUUGAAAUUCUAACCUUGUGUGCCUACAGGCAUAAAGAGAGGUGUCUGGCACACAAAGUGAGGGAGUGUCAGUUGGGCAGCUCGAGCACGGUUGAACCUCCCAAGAACCUACAAUUAAAGGAGGAAAAGAAUGAAUAAUAGUGUUUUCGGAUGAACGAAAUCAUAGUGUUUUUGGAUUAAGAAACAACAAAUUCAGCAAAAACAAAUGAGAUUGUAUACCAGAGUGAUUUACAGUCAUGGCCCUCCCACUGUUAUCGCAGACGAUAAGUGGUAGGACAGACCUAAUGAUCACUGUAGUUUGGGCACAAAAGUAACAUAGCUGAGGAAGCUAAAUAACAGCUCAAAAGAACACAAUUUAGAGGGGCAUUCACAUUCUCCCUUUAGAGUUCUCCUGUGAGGCCUUUGGUUCUUGGAAAGAAUGAGAUGAUGAAUAAAAAGAUCCUUAAAAACGGUUUACUUUCAUGUCCAUUUCCAUAACCAUUUCUUUUAUUUUCUUCAUUGUUUUUAAAGAACCAAAUAGGGGGUCAAUAAGGUAAUCUGUUCUCAUCCAAAGCUCAAAUUCGUCUUUCACAACAUCUUCAUUUUGGCUGCAGGUUGGCUUCAAAUUUGAAUGAAAUGAAUACAACUCUGACCACUAAAAACAAAUAGAAUCACAGAAAAUGUGCAUCCAAAUUCAAAUACCUCAAACCGAAGCGCCAUCCAGCAAACUCCUUCCUCGACACUCUUUUAUGUAUAAACCUGUAAGUUGAUAUCAAAAAACGCAACUAAUCAUACAAAACAAAAGGAUACUACAAACUUUCUGAAGAAAAAUCUAGCAAUGCAAAAACGGCAUGACCAAAAUGUUGAUGUGGGAGAUUACUGUGAUAGAGAAAUACAGAUAAUGUGCAAAAUAAAAGAUAGUAACAAGCUUACAGAGAAGAGUGUAGGAGGUGAAUGUGUUGAAGGCGAGGGCGACGAAACAACGAGCCCUAGUAUGAACAAGAGAAUAACCUAGUCUGUCUCGGCGGCUUGGAUUGUGCGCCGGCAACGCGUUGCUUCUGUUGGCCUUUUUCCACGCUCGGAACGAAGAAGACUAGGGUCUUCGACACGUAGCGGUCAAAAAUUAAAAAGGGCUAGGGUCACUGGGCUCCUUGUUCGAAUCGACCCGAACCACUUUUUCUUGGUUUAUGAAAUUUGAUUCGCUCCUGUCAAAAACGUUUUAACCAUUGGUUUGCACUUUGUACGCAUUUUUCGUUAUGUCGAGGUUCCUAGAAGGCUGGACCUUCUUUUCUUACAUCCCAUUUAUACCUAUCUGAUUUCUCUGCCAUCCGACAGGCGACAACCCCGCGUUUCAGCCCUUUCCCCUUUCAGCAAAAGGGGACCAAAUGAAAGCAUGUGGGCUCUGACUAUUUUAAAUUUUUCCAGCUUCUUUUCUACUUUAAAACCCCGCUGAUUGCGAUUAUUUAUAACUCGUUUUCUUAAACAGUGCAUUAAAAUACGAUACUCAUAUUCAUGCACAUGAAACGCAUUUUAUUUUAUUGAUACUAGAUUGGAGCUUACUAUUGAGUUUGAGGAAAGUUUGUAUUGAAAACUUAACAUUAAUCUACGCAUUAAACAUGAUACAAUUAGUGUGAAAAACUAAAUUUUCAUUGAGUUAUAAAAUUAAAGGGAAAAAAAAAAUUAACAGUUAAGCCAAAAUUAUGUCUUUAUAUCACACUAUCUCUCUUUAACUAAUUUUUUCUAUUUUAGCCACCCACCCUAUAUUUCUCGCUCCACCAAUGGUGUUGAGUACAUUUUUCGAAUUUAACCGAGUCAUACAUGAAACCACAUUAAAUAAGUUAUAUUGGAAUGCAUUGACAUAUAUUAUUGGAAUAUUAAAUUAUGUCCUUUUACCAAGUAUUUUUUAAAAUUAGUCUAAUUUUAUGAAAUUUGUUUGACAUAUAGUUAAUUUAUGAAAGUUUUUAAUUUUAUAGAAAAUGAUUCCUAAAUUUACAUGACUUUUGGUGUAAAAAUCAAAAUUGAAAACUCAAUUAAGAGAGUAAUGUAAUAAAUAAAUAAAUAAAUAAAUAAAGAUUAAUAUCAUGUUAUAUUACUUAAAUGAUGAAAGGUAUAGAUAAAAAAAUUCAAAUUGUCCACUCUCAACACAUGUAGAGGUAAUUCACUAAUAAUUAUUAGGGUUUGUUGCAUGAAAAACAUUAAGAUUAUGUUUGGUUCCGGAAAUAGUAAGGAAAUAAAAAAAAUGCAAAGGAAAAUAAUUUUUUCAUGUUUAGUUGUCAUAUGAAAAAAUAUCAAAUAAAAUAAAAUGUAAUUAAAUUUAAUUAAAAUCUUAUAUAUUUUUAAAUUAUUUAAUCUUUAUAUUGAUAAGUUAAAAUAAAUAAAACGAGUUUGAAGUAACAAAAAAAAAAAAUUUAUUAACUUUUAAUCUUUUUUUUUUUUUUUUCCUUUUACUUUUCAUUUGUAUUUUAUUUCCCUUACAUUUUCCUUCAAAUUUUAUGGAAUCAAACAUAAUCUAACACAUGCAAUUAUUGGUCAAGACGAGUAUGGGAAGCUAGUAUAAUUCAAACAAAAUAAAACCAUGUAUUAUUUUUUCAUAUUUUGUGGAUUAUUGAUAAUAUUGACAGAACAUUUAUUUUUACAUUUAUAAAUACCAAUUGUUUUAUUGUUUUAUUUAUGAGUGAUCUUCCAUGUAUAUUUUGAAUGUGUUUAGUAAUGAUUUUAGAAAGUGUUUUUACAAUUUUUAAUACUUAAAAAAAAUAUUAUUUUUUGAGUAUUAUAAAUAUUAUAAACAAUUCAUAAAAUUACUAUCAAACGCACUCUAAAAACUCAUUUGAUAAUAAUUAUAAGAAGCGUUUAUAACAUUUUUAAUGCUUAAUUUUUUUUAUCAUUCAAUUGUUAUAAAAACUAAAAAUGUUUAUAAUAAUCACUAUUAAAUAUAUUUUUAAAGUAUGUUUGACAAAAAUUUUAGAAAGUGUUUAUAACAUUUUUAACACUUAAAAAUUGUUAUCUAUUAAAUAUUAACAAAAUUAUAAACACUUAAUAAAAUCACUACACUCUUAACGUCACUAUAUUGAUUAAUUGAUUACUAAUUUAUAGAUAAGUUAAUUAAUUUUAAUUAAUCAUACUUUAAUUUAAGUAAGUGGAUUUGUGAAUUUUGGAUAUAAUUAUGUGGAUUGCUUAUUCGCUUUCCCUCGACAUAAUUAUAUACGACUUGAGAAUAUGUAUACAAGUGAUUUAUUUUUCUGGGGAAAUAUUGAAUAUAAAAAUAUAAAUAUAGAUAUUGAACAAAAAUCUUUGUAUGAAUCCUUAAUCUAUAAUCCCCAAAUGAACAAAGUGUGAAGUUUCAAAUAAGAAAAACUAUAUCUCAAUGGAUAUAAAAAUAAAAAAUAAUUGACUUUUUAAAUCAAUAAUUUAAAGAAAUAACUAUGGUGGUGCUUUUUUUUUUUUUUUUUUUUGCCGAAAGUAAUUUGUUUUUUAAAAUUAGGUUGUUUGUUUUUUUAUUUUUUCAUGACUUAUUAUAAAUUUUUUACUAAAUAUAAAAAGAUAAAAUAUGUAAUUUUUUAUAAAUAUAAAAAAUAACAUAUUGAUUUUUUUAAUAUUCAAUAUAAAUAAAAUAUUAAAAAAACAAACAACUUAAUAUUUAACACUAUUAAGCAUUAAGGUUCUAUUUAUAAUUAAUUAGAAAAAUAAAUACCACCUAUAUCUAAAAAAACCCGAGUCACAAUUAAAAUAAAAAUGUACAAGAAAGUGAUUUAAAAUUAUUUUGAAUAUGAUGGCUAGAGUCAGAUGAUCAAGGAAGAUUAAAAAAACUUAAUUUUGUUACUUUCAUAAAUUUUGUGGAAAUUAUUAAUAUCAAAUUAAAUAAGAAAUAAUAAUAAUUUUGUUUAUGAUUUAGUGAUAUCAAAAUCACAUAUUUUGCAUUGUAUCAUGAAAGUCUUAAAUUCUCACAAAAAAACAUGAUUUUAUUUUAUUAAAUGUAAUGAAUACAGUUACACCAGUAACAAAGAUUAUUGGAUGAUAUGAUAAAGUUUGUAUCAUAUAGUUUAAGACUAUUAAGAAAUAUUUAUAUAAAAAUUAUUAUUAUUAUUUUAUUUUUCUAAAGGCAGAGUAUUUAAGCAAUUAUUAAAUAAUUAAAUUGAUUUAUCCUUAAACCUCAAACUAACAAAAUUUAAGACAAAAGUUAACCUCUAGCGUGGGAUACCAAAUCAUUUAUUCUUUUCUUUUUUCUUAUUUUCCCUUGUAUCCUCUCAAUCAAGAACUUAGAAAAUAAGACCCAAAAAAAAUAAUUUACUCACCUAUGCUGCUAUGCAUUAUAAUAAAAAUAAAAAGAAUAAUUUUUAUUAACUCAAACUAUAACCUCAGGACUGUGCGCUUGAAAUUGAGAGUUUCUUAUUAAAGUAAUCUGUUUUUUUUUUCUUUUAAAUUCUUAAUCUAAAUUCAUGUUAAAAAUAUUUGUUAAAGUAAUGCAUUUGUACAUCAUGAAAUUUCAUUUUAUUAAUAUUUUUGCUUUAAAUUUAAAAUAACAAUUAUCAAUAUUGAUUUUUAAAAUUAUUGCCGAUAACUAAGAUUUUAAAUUUAAAAAUAAAACCACACUUAAGUGGUAUUUGUUUUUUAAUUAAAUAGAUAAAAUCAAAAUACUUAACUUUUUUUAUUAAAUUAAAAAUAUUUUGUUAAUAUUAACCGAUAUAAUUAAAAUAAACUUGUUAUUAAUAAAUUUAAUUCAAUUAUAUUAGUUGAUGUUAAUGAGUUACUUUUAGUUGAAUAAAAAAAUCAAAAUAUUUGAUUUUUUAUAUUUAAUAAAAAAACAAACAUCAUCUUAGCUUUUUAUACUUAAAAAACAAAAAAAAGUUAACAUAAAUAUUAAUUUGGUAAAUAUUUGGAAAGAAAUUUUAUUUUCAUCUUUUUUUUUUUUUUUCUUCGAAAGUGUUUUGGCUUAAAACUCCAAAAUCGAGGCAUUUGACAUAACGUAAGGUGAUAAACGGGAAAUAAAAUAAAAUCAUGCUGCUUAAAUGCUUCCUACGAUGGCCAAAACGAAGAAAAUAUAAACGACACCGUAUUGGGUUCGUGAAUUGGAGAAACAAUAAUUUCAAUGCCAAGGCUUCAAGAGAGAGAACAAUCCCCCAUGCCCCACUGUGGAGCAAGUGCAGCUAACCGGAAGGGACAGGUGAAACGAAGCAUGUAACAACGACGUCGUUUCAAUAGCUGGGUAUUUGGAGAACAGGUCCCACUGAAUAAUUUUCUCCUCCAGUUCCCAGAUUUCCAAACAAAUUCCAAACCCUAGUUCUGAUCCAACUCCCACAAAUCCAGGUAAACUCGUUCUCCCUGGAUCAUAUUUUGUUGCAUCUGAUAAUGCUCAAAUGUUCAAGCACUGUGGUCUUCCGAUCCGUGAUCACAAUUCCGAAAUCAAUGCCCAUCGUGUUUGUUUAAACUCACAAAACAAAGAAAAUUCUCAAUAUUCAUUGCGUAGUUGAAUGUUUUUCGUUUGUUCUUAUUUAUAGAUCUGCCAUAUUGAAUCAUUUCUAAAAAGGGAUCACUUAAUGUGCUUGAUUUAUUGGCAGUGAGCGUAUUAAUAUAAAGUGAUUGGAUAAGAUGCAACGCGUUCCGGCAACAAUAGAGGAACAAUUGAUUUUGAAAGCAAUUAGGGAGGAAAGCCCUUGGGAGAACCUUCCGAAACGGCUUCAAGCAACUAUAGCUUCCAAAGAAGAAUGGCACAGAAGGUUAUAUAUUUUAUUUGUUUAGACACUGUCCUCUUGUUUAUGGAUCCACAAGGGGCUGUACUGGUAAUAGUUAUUUCGAAUUGAAACUAAACAUGAAAUGUUGACCUCUAACAUAACUUAUGAGUACAUGCUUUAAUCCAUUGCUUCGCUUUGAUGAAGUUGCAAUCUUAACCCACCUCAAAUAUUCUAUGCCUUUUGUUGGUGUGAUGGUUGGUCUGCUUUGUCAAGUUAUGCAAUAAGUUAAAUCAACGCUUAGAUGCUGGAUAAACAAUUCCUAGAUCUAAGUAAUAAUUCAUGGAGUCGGUCGAGUGUUUUUCCUUUUUACCUCUUUUAGUUGGUUUCCACCUGUGAAUAUAGUUUGUAUUUUAUGCAGGAUAAUUGAACAUUGCAUAAAGAAGAGGCUCCAAUGGAACUCUUGUUUUGCCCGUAAAGUAUGCAAAGAGAGUGAAUAUUAUGAAGAAAUGAUGCGUUAUUUGAGAAAGAACCUAGCAGUAAGUACUAUACAUAAAAUCUUUCUUUUUCUUGUAUUGCUAUGUGUUGUAUUUUGAAAAAAAACGAAUUUCCUCUUAUUAAAGCAUCGGCGAUAAUUUUAAUUAAUUAAUUAUUUAUUUUUGGAAGUUGACUCAAAAAAAUGUGGGAUAUGAAGUUCCAGCAUCUGUAUCUUUCACAAAUUUUGGCUGAAAGAGUAACUUGCACCCAUAAAAUUAGUAAUAAAGUACUAGAUAUGGAUCUGUGAGUAUGUAAGCACUAGAUAUUUAUUUUAUGUUAAAGGGCCGCUUUUGUUCUGUCAUUUCCCUGAAUGAAUCUAUGCACAAAAGUUCUAUUUGAUACCCAGUGUAUCUUCUUAAUUCAUGUUAUGCACAAUAAAAUUGGACAUGUAGCUACAGUGUCCAAAUAAUGCUAUUGUCUAUUUUAAAAAAUCUUGGGACAAAUGCAAUUUACUUGUUGAUUUUCUCUUUUCUUUUUUUUUGGGUUUUCUUUUUUGCAGCUGUUUCCUUAUCACCUUGCAGAGUAUGUUUGCCGUGUAAUGAGGGUAUCACCUUUCAGAUAUUACUGUGAUAUGAUAUUUGAGGUUAUGAAAAAUGGUAAUAGGUUGCUAUCUUUUAACAAAUGCAAUAUGACUUUACAAAUACAUGAAACUGUUAUAGUUGUCAAACUAUCCGUGACUUGUAUUUAUGGAGAAAUUUUACUGUGUUUAAUCUCAUGCAAUCUGUUAGUUAAUCACCUGUCUAAUAAUGACUGUUUUGUAGCUUAUCUUUUACUUCACUACUUGAUCAACGCACUCCUGUUAGUCACAAAAUCUCUGAUUGAACCUACGUUUAGAGGAGCUGAGGUGUUAGCGCUGUUGGCAUAUUGUGUUUAAGUGUUGGGACUAUAAAUUGUUGCACUAGAAUGCUUUUGCAAUUUCUUCAUCCAUCAUAACCAAACUCUAGGAGACUAAUAGGAAAUAUUUAUUCUAUUGUUGCAGUAUAAAGGAUUGUGUACUUCUUGGAAUGAUUUCUCAUUCUUUGUAGAAAUUGUUGUUUCUCAUAAAAAUUUAAAGGCAAAAAAAUUAUAGUCAUUUAUCAUUCAUUGUCCUUGCAUCAAAUAUCUUAUUAAUAGGCUUUAGAAGCCCCAAAAAAAACUCAAUUUACUAUAAGAAAAGAAACUCAAACUGCACAGUAACUUAUUAGAAAUUCUAAUUCUUACCUAAAACUGAAUUAAAAAAUAGAAAUAAUUGUUUUUUUUAUUAAAAAAAUCAAUAUUUUUUGAAAGGUAGAAAUAUUUUAGAUAAAAAAUUUUUUAGAGAACAAAUAAUUUUUAGAAAAUAGAAAUUUUUAAAGAAUGGAAAGUCUAAAAGCAAGAAUUUAUGACAAUAAACAAAGAAACUUCAUAAGUUCUAUAUAGCACUUAAACUAAUACUAAAUUUGACUAAAUUAACUUAGGAUCUCUAAGUUAUUUUUUUCUUUUUCUUUUGUCCUUUUGUAAGUGAACUUGGAAGGGCUCAUCUUCAUUGCUUAGGGAGGAUGAUUAUGUUGGCCUUGGUUGUAAUUCUUUAACAAAUAAAAAAAGAAGAAAUUGUACAUUUGAGUAUGGGAUCAAGUAUCUUCAAGGAGUGGCAUGAGAACUUGCAUUUGAUGUGAAGAUCUAAGUUUUCUUUAUUAAUUUUCCUCUUACCCUGUUGUACCAAAUCUUGAAGCAUUAUAGUAAUAUUUACUAUCAACCAUUUGGCCUAUUGUUUGUCCCAAGUAUUUCCUUCUAACCGGCGCUUGGUUAAACUAGGCAGUUUAGUUGUAGUCAUGCUAGAAAAAGCACAAAUGUUUGGAUGGAAAAAUUUCUUGUGUUUUUUUAAUCUUAUUGAGCACAAAAAUAAGCCUUUUAUGUUAACCAUUUGUGAUCUCCAUUCUUUGAAUAAAAUUGUCUCUUAUGAUUAUUGACUUCGUAUCUUCUUCAGUCUCAACUGGUUGCCACUGUCAUUCCAUCAUUCCCUUUCUCUUGAUAGGGUAGGUGCUGCUUAUUUGAUGAAAAUUAUGGAUCAACUAUUUUUUUUAUGAUGAGAAAAUCGAUGAAAGAAAAAAAGCUACAAUGAGUACUAGUGUGCUACCAAUCAAAAAGGUAUUUACAAUACACUCUGAAAGCCAUAAUUUCUAAAUCACCAGUAAAAACCAGAGUGUUGAUAAAAGAUCUACUAUGCGGUUUCAAAUCUCAUUAUUUUGAUCAAAGAAUUGGUCAACUAAUUAUAGUUGCUACCCACUUCCACAUGGAUGAUGUUAUGGCACACUGAGUCAAUACAUCAUCCUUGGUUUAUAAGAUCUUGCAGUCUAGAUUCUUUUAAUCUUGUCAGGGGGAAGUAUCAAUGUAAUUAGAUACUUUGGCAUUCGAAUUCUUUCCAAAAUUUUUAACCCUUAUCUCUUUGUUUUGUCAAAUGCUUAUAUGCUAAUCUACUGUGAAAAAACAGAGAUUAUGUUUGCUAAAAUACCAGAGUAUGACAUAGGUCAUAUCAUAACAGUAUUUUAGGAAUAGAGAACCAAAAACAAAGCAAAAGUUCUUAGGAGUAAACUUUUGUUUAUCCAAAUGUGUACAAAGUACAAACCUUUUUGGUUGCUGCACUUAAAACAGAAAGUUCGAGUUAAGCUGCUUGUUACCACUUCCUAGAAAUCCUUUAUAAGUUGUUAUUUCUUUGAACCUUAGGCAUUGGUGUUUUUGAUGCAUAUUUCUCAUACUCAUGGUAUUCUUGCUCAUGGCAUGUUCUAUGCCUGGUGGCAUAUGCCUAUUGCUUGUUAAUGUAGAGUAGGGUAUGUACAGCAUAGGAGUUACUGAUAUACAGGGUUUAACUUGAUUAUGUUUCCUUAAACAGACUGUUUUGAACUCCUCUUGCAAUUUGAUUUUUAUGUUUGUCUUGUCCUCAUUUAUUUCCUUGUUCAAAACUAUUUUUAGUCACUGUUUAUUGGAUCCUUGUUAUUGUCAUUUCACACAACAUUCCGCUUUAGAACUUUUUUGUGCGUGAUGCAUCUAUGCUUUCUUUGAUUGCUUUGGAUGUAAAUUGUCUCCAAACUUUCUUAUGCAUUUUGUAUUGCUUGCAGAGCAACCUUAUGACAGCAUUCCAAAUUUCAGCGCUGCUGAUGCAUUGCGGCUUACAGGAAUAGGAAGAAAUGAAUUUAUUGAUAUCAUGAAUAAAUGCAGAUCUAAGGUAGUGGACAAGUGCACUUAUAUGCUUCUAGACAUUGAUAAUAUCUUUUUUUUGAUAGGCAAAAGAGCAAAAGAUAUAUUAAAGAUCCAAUUAAAGAGACAACUAAAUAAUAUCUUAUUUAGUUCAUAUGCUUGUAUAUAUGGCAUAUUAUUAGCCCUUGAGACUCAGUUCAAGUUGGAAGGGGUUGGGAUAGUGAUCUGGGAGGUUCCAAGUUUGAGUCCCAGUAGGGAUAAAAGAGAGAAAAAAGUUUACCUAUAAAAAAAGGAUAGUGUUUAUGUUAAUACACGUCUAACAUAAAUUGUAAUAACCAACCACUUACUAUGACUAAACUUUCCUGAAAAAAUUGAGUAAUUUUAAUAAAAAAAACUUUCCAAAUUCUGAAGGAGACUUAAAUAACCAACCACUUACUAUGACUAAACUAACGAUUUACAAAAUUCUCCUUUUCUUCCUUUCAAGAACAAACUUUUUUUUUUUGAUAGGUAAAGAAAUGAUUGUAUUAAUAACGCCUAUCAAAAGGUGCACAAAAGUAUACAUGGUAUAUACAAGUUGCCAAAGGCCAAAAGGGGCAGAGAGGGCACAAAAAAACCACUCUUGCCUUACUUAGAGUUCAAACAAUCACUAAAAUCCAUCAGAGACAAGGAGUACUCUUCUAUGCAUACCCUAAUCUAGGCUCUCUUGUUUCUCUACUUCCAUAUGGUCCAAAAUAAACACAAAGGAGUUGCUCUCCACGUUUUCUUUCUCUUCUUCUCUAUAAAGGAUACAUGCCAACUUUGAAGGAUGCCCUUGACCGAGGAUAACAUCACUCAUUGAACACCAAAUAGAUCAUAAAUUAACUGUUGCAUGACGACUUUGGAACAAUGAAGGAGGAUAUUAUCUACCGUUUUUUCCUCUCCAACCCCUCCUUUCUUGAAUAGAUCGUAGAGGUUCAUGCUCAUCACGUUGCCUCCAUGUCGGAGACAGCAGGGCAGUCGUUACACCAUUCCCGUCCAUUGUCUUUGAACCAAGACUAGGCAAUUUUUACCCGCAGACAGUUGAAAUCAUGGCUUUUUCAAAUUUUACCUUUAGGAAUUGAACUCAUAGAACGAUAGUUUUAGUGGUUGCUGUUUUGCAGAUCACCAAAUGGUCCCUGCUAAAAGAUUUUACCAAGAUUUCAAAAGGUCAAGUUGAAGAAACUAACUGGCAAUAUCUGAAAGCUUUACAUCAUCUCUUGAAUUUUAUUUUACAGUAUGAUUCAAUGAUUUCUGGCAGCGGACCAAGCAGCCAUCUGGUCAAUCCUGUAGCAGUCCAGUCCAACUAGCUUUAUUAUUCCUUUUUCCUUGGUACCCACAAGUAACUUGUUCUGGAAUUAACCUAAAAUUUACGUAGAAGAAUCCAUGGAGAUCAUGACAAGUUAAAAAAGUUAUGGUGAUUUGCAUGACUUGGUGACUUUCUGUAUAUGGAGGCAUGAACUGUCAUGUGUUUCUUUCCUUUCUUUAUAUGCCAUAGCUGUUUCAAAAGAGGCGUGGGUGGUGAUCUUUGGGAUCAGACAGGGGAGAAAGUCAUUGGAACCCUUGUUUUUCAUGACCUUUGAAUGAUUGGGAAGUGGACAACACGAUGGUGUGGAUAAAUUUGUACAAUAAUUUCUCUGUUAAGUAUUUAUAUGCCACUUUGGAAUUGGGGAGUCUAGUUUCAUUUCCAAAGUGGGUGGUUUGGAAUUCGUGGGUUCCUUCUAAGGUUGACUUUUUUUGCGUGGGGCCUUCUUGGAGCAAAGUUUUUUCUUUAGAUCAAAUUCAAAAAAGAGGUUGGUUUUUGGUGAGGUGUUUUCUUUGCAAAGAAGAGGAGGAAUCCAUAGAUCAUAUCCUCCUCCAUUAUUCACUGGUUAGGAUCUUUUGGUAGUUGCUGUUUGAUCUUUUUGGUGUCCAUUGGGUGCAAGCUGCUACUGUUAAGGAGGCUUUUUUAGGUUGGCAUGGUUGUUUGUGGGCAAAAAACGUAAAAAGGUUUGGAGAGUAGCUCCAUUAUGUAUCUUUUGGACGGUUUAGAAGGAAAGGAUUCUCCGGUCGAUAACGAGAAGCAUUCAACUAUUUUUUUGAAGAUGUUCUUCCUUAGAAAUUUGUUUACUUGGGUAACGCAAAACAUAGAAAUAAAUUCUACGUCUUUACUUGAUUUUGUUGAGUGGUUGGGUUCUUGUAAAGUGAGGGUGUUAUUUCUUUCUCGGUUUUUGUGCUAUUAGGCACUAUUCAUAUACAUCUUGUGUACUUUGGUACGUCAUAUUGGCGCUUUUUAUUUUUUAAUGAAAUUGGUUUUAUCUAUAGAAAAUAUAUAUAUAGAGUUUAUUUGGUUAUCAAAACUAUUGUUUAAUUACUCAAUGGCAGCCUUUUCUAAGGUUGAGUCCACGAGCCACACUCUCCAACCUCAUCAUCUGCCACAACUUUUGUUUGACCAUCUCCCAUGGUCGAUGGCAAUCGUUCUGGUAUUUCAUAUUUUAUUACCAAAUUGUUGAAGAACUCAAGCCAUACUCUUCAAAACAUGAACUUUGAUUUUAUCAUUAUCAAAGGCGACAUUUGCCAUACAAUAUUAAUGAAAGGGGAAUCCUUUAGGCACACUGUACUUCUUCUGUGGUCCUUUAAUGUUAGGUUUGAAAUUGGGUCUAGAAUUUUACAACAAUAUUGGAGAAGCAUGCGAUGAUAGGUGAAAGGUGAUGCGAUCUACCAUUUUCAUAGGCAUUUCUUGUUAAAUUUUUCCCAACCACUCCUUAGUUAAUGUUUGAACACUAUGUGCUUUUGGGGGGGUCAAAAAUGAAAAGUGUUAUCUCAGAAUUUGGUUCUUUCCUUAAGGAACAGUGAAAAUUGCCUUUCCACUUGAGUUUAAGAAACCCAAUACACCUCAAAUACUCCAUGGAAGACAUGAGUAGCCAGGGGCUGCAGCUACGUUGUACUACUAUGUGAUUACUUUGGAACAAUGAAGGAGGAUAUAAUCUACAUUUUUUCCUCUCCUUCACACAAAAAGCCCCUUCUCGGCAACCUCCUACCCCUCCUUUCUUGAACAGACCUUAGAGGGUCAUGCUCAUCACAUUGCCUUCAGCUUAAUUAGGUUUGCUCUAGGCACUUCACAUUGCUCAAGAACACUCUUUGAAGUUUACCACUAUACUUUGCCUUCCUUUGUGAUUCCAAGCAGAAUGAGGAAAAGAUUGGAUAAGUAUCAAUGCAACUUUUUGUGCGAGGGCUGGCCUUUUGAGGGGAAAAUUCACUUAGUGAACUGGACUUCCAUAUGCUCCUUAAGAUCUCAUGGUGGGCUAAGUAGUGGAAAUCUUUCUAUACUUAACAAAGCAUUGUUGAAAAAAUGGUGCUGGUUUUUUUUAUAGAGUAAAAUAACAUUUGUAGUAGAGUCAUUAUUAAUGAGUUUAAGGAGGUGAAGAGGGUUGGUGCUCUAGGAUGGGGAGGGAGAUAUAUGGGACAAAUCCUUGGAAAGCCAGUAGCUAAGUAUCAGAUCACUUAUUUGUUAGAAUUUUCCUUGAGAUAGGCAAGGGGACGACCAAGUUUUGACUUGACGUCUGAUGUGGGAAGUUGGCAUUAAAGGAUUGUUAUAGCUUUGCACAAAGAUGCUUAGGUUGUGGAUCGUUAUAGCUUUGCACGAAGAUGCUUAGGUUGUGGAUCGUUAUAGCUUUGCACAAAGGUGCUUAGGUUGUGGAUCAUUAUAGCUUUGCCUAUAUUCAGAAGGAAGUUUCAAGAUUAUGAAUUGAUAUCAAUGGAAUCCCUUUUGCAGCAUAUCUAUCCAUCUACUAUUAAGCAAAAUUGUUAGGAUAUGAUGGUGUAGUGGGCAAUUGUCACACCCUUGGGAAUCACCCAAAAUUUUUCACUGAGUGUACGGUGCUAAGACACCUUUCUUAGCCAACCUUACCCCUAAGCUUUUAUAAAAGCAGUGUAACCAGGCCAAAGCAAUUAUGAGAAUGCUUCCCAACUUGUGUUAUUCCAAUCAUCUACUAGAUACAAAAUCGUUCCAAAGUGUCUCAACACUUUGCAAGAGUCAGAGGCUACAAUGCUUACACCCUAAGCAUUCAAUAGAUACAUACAAUACUUUGUCUCAGGAUGUAGGGGGUUUUUUAUAAGAGACACCCAACCUAUAGUUACCUUUCAAAGUUUAAACCAGGCAAGCCUAUUGGUGGUUACAUAACCACCCAUAACCACCCAGUUGGAGACACCCCUCCGAACUGAGGUGUCCUUUCGCACCAGCCAACAGCUUCGUAGCUAUCUGCCAGUUCCCUGUUGCUAAGUUUAGCUACUGCCAUCUCAUGUGCUGCAUUGAUCAAUCCUGCUGCCAUUAGCAACUGCUGUUCCUUCAAACCCUUUCUCAUUGAGCCAUUGGUGAGUCUACUUAACAAGAUGCCUCCUCCGCGUAAGGUGCUUCCUUUGAAUAGGUGCUCAUCAAGGUGUCUUUGACCAAGCUCUCCAAAUCAGCAAUGUGCUCUCAUCAGCUGAUCAAGUGUGUUUGGUGCAUCAAUGUGCAUUCCCCACAUUGAUGCUCGGGCUCAUGUCAUGUCAAGGUGCCAAUGGCCUAGGGCAUGUGAUAGUUUCCUCUGUUAGUCAAGGCUCACUGUUGCCUUGUCCAUGCCAUGCACUAUCAAUCUUGCCCGUUGCCUCAGUUUCCCACCAAGCCACUGAUUCACAGCAUUGUGCCAUGGCAUUGCGCCCAUGGCUAUUGUAUCCCCUUGCACGGGGUAUUGUGCCCCUGUGCCAUGCAUAGGCGUCAUGAGUUUGAGUUGGCCGCAUGUUUAGUGCCCUACUGAGCCAUGGCAUUGCGCCCAUGGCUUCUCGAAUCGGCUCAAUGCAUGAGUCUUUUAGGUGCUCUCAUGUUAGUGCAGGGAGGAGGUAGUUCGCACCAGGUCCUGUGUCGUUGUGGCCUUGAGGUGCACGCCGCAUAUGUCGAGGAGCCCAUGUGUGCGUGCUAGUGUGCCUUCCAAGUGUCUUAGGCACGCCCAAAGCCGUGCCAUGGCGCCCUUUUGGUGCGGCCAAGGCUUGGCCUUGGUGCCCCCUUGAGUCACCCACCUCCUCCUUAAAGAGCAAUACAAACCAUUCUCAAGAUGUCCGGAGGAGACAUUAGACCCCCUUGAGGGUCUUAAUAGAAUAUUAAAAUAAAUAAUAUUUAUAUUCCAUAAAAACCUCACCCUUCAUCUGCAUUGUCACUAACGUGCCUUGUGUGCAGAAUGUGCGCCAAAUGUGCGUGCGGGUGUGGCCUGGUGUGUGUAUGGGUGCGACUUUGUGCGCGUGUGGGUACGAGACAGCUGUGCGUGGGGCGCAGGACUAGUGCGGGCCUGCCCUGUGCCUGGUGCUCGUCUGGUGCACACCAAAACCUUCAGGCUUUCCUUGCUUCUCCACUUGGGAUCCUCACGGGUGCAAGGCCUAACCAUGAGGCCUUUUUCUUCGUCAUUGGGUCAAGAGGCUAAAGGGCUAACAAACCCACCCCCGCUUACUGAAGUUGACGCCCUCGUCGACUGCAAGUAUGCCUGAAUCGCCUUCUCAAACUGCCACAAGGUAACAUAUCUCUUCCAAGUAGUUUAUGAUUUUGAAGUCCUCUUCCACUGAACAAGAAAAUCAGUUCGUCGAUUCUUUCUGCUACAUCCCAUGGUCCUAUGAUCCAAGAUCUUCUCCACCUCUUGAUCAAAUUGUUUCAUGACCAAGGGAGGGGCUCGCUUUGUCUGUACCCUCUUUGUGUCUGGGUCUUCAUAGUAUGGUUUCAGGAAACUAACAUGGGAGGUCGGGUAAAACUUGAUCAUUUCUGGUAGUUUCAACAUAUAAGCCACCCGCUCCACCCUUUUUAUCACCUCGAACAGUCUGUCAUAUUUAGGAAUCAGACCCCUAUGCGUUGUUUUGUUGCUAAUCUUCUUCCAUAUCUAAGGAGUCAAUUUCAGGAGGACUUUGUCUCCAACCUGAAAUUCCAAGGGCCACCUAUCAUGGUUUGCAUACUUCUUCAUCCGUUUGACUACUUUUUCCAAACUGUCUUGGGCCUCAUCGAACAUCUCCUUUCGAGACCGAGCCAACUUGUAUGCUGUAGGGUUAUUUCCUCCAGUCUUUUGCUUAGCUACCUCCAAAAGCAUCCUUGGCUGUACCCCAAUAGCCAAUUCAAAGGGACUCAUCCCUGUUGCUGAACUUCUCUAUAAAUUGUAACAUAAUUGGGCAAUGUCAAGUAAAUCCACCCAGUUCUUUUGUGUUGCUGUCACAUAGUGCUGGAGAUACUCCUUCAAUAAGACAUUAAUCCUCUUUGUCUACCCAUUAGUCUGAGGAUGAUUGGCUGUAGAAAACUUCAACUUUGAACCCAAGAGUUUGAACAACUCAAUCCAGAACAGGCCUGUGAACUGUGUAUCCCGAUCACUCACUAUGCCUCGAGGCAACCCAAAGUGCUUCACAACAUGGCUGAAGAACAACCUAGCCUCUUCUUUUGUGGGACAUGCAUCAAGAGCAAGUAUAAACAUAGAGUAUUUAGAAAAUCUAUCCACAACAACAAAGAUAGAUUUGAAGUCACAAACCUUUGAGAAUCCGAUGAUGAAGUCCAUGGAGAUGCUUUCCCAAGGCUUCUCUGGAAUGAUGGUGGGGGGUGCUGCAGCAACCUUACAACCUUUUUCCUCUCGGUCUUGUCCAUUUGACAGACUAGGCAGGAUCUCACAUAAGCCCGUACAUCCUCACUCGUCUUUGGCCAGUAGUAGGAUUUGGCAAGCAAUGGCAAAGUCCUUUCUUCACUGGGAUGGCCUGCCCAUCUAGCAUCAUGAGUUUCCCGCAACAGUUCCUUCCUCAAGCCACCUGCAGGGACUUACCACCUUCCUCCUUUAGCCAUAAGGAGGUCUCCUUCAAGCCAAUACCUCCUAAUUGCUCCCUCUUUGACUUGUUGUCUUAGCUUGCUAUAGGCAGCAUCAAGCUCUGCAGCCUGCUUGAUCCUUUCAUUGAAGUCAAAGAUGACUUUUUAGAGGGCAAUGAUAUAAUCAAUCACUUCCUUUCUGCACAAGGCAUCAACCACUGUGUAGUGUCUUCUUGGUUGAUGCAACCAUUCAAACAUGAAGUCAGCCAGGAACUCCUGCCAUUGAGCCUAUUUGAGACUUAGCUUCUUCUGUGUUUUGAAGAAGGUGUUGGUCACAUUGUCAAUGACUACUGUGAAGAUGCUCCCAAGCAGGUAAUACCUCCACUGCUGCAGACAAUGAACCACUACAGUCAUCUCCUUCUCGUGAGUGGAGUAUUUUUGUUCAACACUAUUCAAUUUCAUGCUUUCGAACGCCACAAGGUGUGCUUCCUGCACCAAGACCCCACCCAAGGCCCUAUUUGAGGCAUUUGUUUGGACUUCAAAUGACAAGUCAAGAUCUGGCAACCGUAACACAGGCUUAGUGGAGAUGGCUUUCUUCAGGCCUUUAAAGGCCAUCUGACACCGCAUGCUCUAGUCUCACUUCUUGUUAUUUUUUAGUAGGUCAAUGAGGGGAGACACCAUUUUUGAGUAUCCUUUGAUGAACCUUCUGUAAUAGUUGGUUGGAUUGAGGAAGGAUUGUAACUCUGUCAACUUGCUAGGGACUGGCCACUCCUUAAUAGCUUGCACCUUGCCUUCAUCCAUUUUGAUCAGACCUGCACUGAUCUUGUGUCCUAGAAAUGAGAUUUGCUCCUGAGCAAAUUCUCAUUUAUCUAGCUUUACAUAAAGCCUAUGCUCCCUCAGUCGUUGGAACUCCAUCCCCAUAUGCUUUUCAUUUUCUGUUAUAGUCUGACUGUACACUACAAUAUCGUUUAGAUAGACUACCACAAAUGCAUCCAAGUAAUCAAACAAGACAUCAUUCAUCAAAUUAUAAAAAGUAGCAAAAGCAUUUGUUAGCCUAAAGGGCAUUACCAGAAACUUGAAUGAGCUAUACCGAGUUACGCAAAUGGUUUUCUCCUCAUUUCGUGCUGCAAUCCACACUUGCAAAUAGCUCGAUCUCAGAUCCAACUUAGUGCAGUAUGAAGUUUUUGACAAUUUGCCAAACAACUCGGGUACCAACAGGAUCGAGUAUUUGUUCUUUAUGGUGACUUUGUUGAGGGCCUUGUAGUCCAAACACAUGUGCAAAGAGCCAUCAUGCUUUUUCUGGAACAACACUGGUGCACCAUAUGGAGCCCUCGAGGGUUGAAUCAGGCCUACAUUCAACAACUCUUUCAACUAUUUCCAUAGUUCCAGUAACUCUAUAGGGGACAUCCUGUAAGGGGCUUGAGCUGGGGGUUUUGUUCCAGGCAACAGUUCUAUCUUGUGGUCAAUGGGUCGCCGGGGUGGCAACCCCUUGGAAAGUUCUGUAGGCAUCACAUCUUUGAACUCCUUAAGAAUCUUGACCAUUGAAUCAAGGAAUUCCAUAGACUGCCCCUCCUUGAUCUUGAUCAAAGCUGCAACAUAGGUCUCUUGACCUCUCUUCAAACCCUUCUUUAAUUGGAUAGCAGAUAACAUCUCAAGCUGACCUUUAUCGCCAUUGUUUGCCCUUAAGGCCUGCACAAAGCAGGGCUGACUUCAUUUAAUACCAUCAAGCCACUAAGAUGCGGGAUCAAGGCCACCUUAGCCUUCAAGAAGAAGUCUAUGCCCAAGAUUAGAUUGAAAUUGUCCAAGGGCACACAGAGUAAGCUGCAAGUGCCCUUCUAGUCAACAACUUGCACAGUUCUUGGCUACACCAUGGAUCUUUUAGGCUUUGCUAUUGACUAUUUUGAUUUGACUGGUGUCAUCUUCCAGUUUCAAUCCCUAUUUGGUUGCCUUUUUGGUGGCCACAAAAUUGUGAGUGACCACUAUUUACUAUAGCCUUGACUUGCACACCAUUCACAACUGCAUGCACAUGCAUUUGUGACUUUUGGACAGGAGUCUCACCAUGAAUAACAUUUAAGAGUUGCAGUAGGUUGACUCUAGGAGGGGUCUCUGAGUCAGAAUCUCCCUUGUCGUCUGUAAUCACAAGGGUUGAGAGUUUCUCUCUUUUUGGGGCAGUCCCUGGCUUUGUGUGGGUCAUUGCAAAUGAAGCAUCCUGCCAUCCGGGUGGUUUGCUGCACAAAUUUGGUGGUCUUCUCCGCUGGUUUGGCCACUGCAUCACCCUUCCUAUUUUGUUUCUUCCACCUUGACUUCCUAGAAGUCUUGCCCUCAAUCUUAGCCUUUUUGCCUCCUUAUGACUUAGAUUUUUGCAUAGUGGAGAUGGUGCCACCCAUCUUAUAAUCCACUAAGCAAUCUAUUGCAGCCAUGGUAGCAGGGAGAUCAUGAACCCCUCCGAAGUUCAGUCUGAGCCCAUUCGUGCGGUCCGGACAUGAAAUUGAAGAGCUUGUCUUCUUCUGUCAUGGUUUUAAUGUCCAACAUCAAGGAACUGAAUUCCUUGACAUAUUUCAUCACGGAUCCGGUGUGUCUUAGUCUCUUCAAUGACUUUCUGGCCACCCAAGCAAUGUUGGUAGGGAGGAAUUGGUCCUUCAACUCCUUCUUCAGAGUUUCCUAAGUGGUGAUUUGGGGCCUUCCAGACUUUGCAUCAUCCUUCAUCCUCGUUCGCCACCAGAGUUUUGCAUCACCAGUCAGAUACAUACUAGUAAUGAAAAUUUUCUCACCAUCAGAGACGUGAGCAACCUUAAAGAAUUGCUCCAUGUCUUAUAAGAAAUUCUUCAACUCCUUUACAUUCAUGUUACCAUUGAAACCCUUAAGCUCUAGGACCCAGAUUUUGGGAGGGGCUUCAGAGCUUGAGGAGGAUCCCUGCAACACUGCCUUCUUGAGGACUGUAAUGUCUUCUCCAUAAGACCGUGGGGUGCCUUUGAAGUCAUCCAUCAGGGACUGGAUAUCUGUCUUCAAACCAACAACCUUCUCCUCAAAGAAUUGAUCAUGUGUCUCCAACAAACUUCUCCGCACUUGGAUUUCCCCCACAGUGUGCUCUACCCACGAGGCCACAAUGCCAUUCUCACUUGGCCAUUCUCCUAGCACUUCUUCCAUCCGAGCAAUCCUUUUCCGCAAGACUUCCGUUGCACUACCAUUAGCCAUCUUUGGUACUUGCUUUGAUACCAUUUGUCGCACCCCUUGGAAUCACCCAAAAAUUUUCACUGAGUGUGUGGUGUUAAGACACCUUUCUUAGCCAAUCUUUCCCUUAAGCCUUUAUAAAAGUAGCGUAACUAGGCCAAAGCAAUUAUGAGAAUGCUUUCCAACUUGUGUUAUUCUAAAGAUACAAAAUCGUUCCAAAGUUUCUCAACACAUUGCAAGAGUCGGAGACUACAAUGCCUACACCCUAAGCAUUCAAUAGAUGCAUACAACACUUUGUCUCAAGUAUGCAGGGAGGUUUUUAUAAGAGACACCCAGCCUACCUGCUGGAGGUUAUCUGGAGACAUGCUUCCCUCCGAACUAAGGUGUCCUUUCGCACCAGCCAUUAGUUUCUCAGCUAUCUACCAGUUCCUUGUUGCUGAGUUUAGCUACUGCCAUCUCAUGUGCUGCACUGAUCAAUCCUGCUGCCACUAGCCAACUGCUAUUCCUUCAAGCCCUUUCUCAUUGAGCCGUUGGUGAGUCCUCCUAACAAGAUGCCUCCCUCCAUCGUAAGGUGCCUCCUAUGAACGGGUGCUCAUCAAGGUGUCUCUGACUAGGCUCUCUGAAUCAGCAACGUGCUCUCAUAAGCUGAUCAAGUGUGUUUGGUGCAUCAACGUGCCUUCCCCACACUGAUGCUCAAGCCCAUGCCAUGUCAAGGUGCCCAUGGCUUAAGGCAUGUGAUAGCUCCCUUUGUCAGUCAAGGCUCACUGUUGCCUUGUCCAUGCCAUGCACUAACAAUCUUACUUGUUGCCUCAGUUUCCCACCAAGUCACUGAUCCACGUCAUUGGGCCAUGGCAUUGCGCCCAUGACUAUUCUAUCCCCUUGCAUAGGGCAGUGUGCCCUUGUGCCAUGCAUAGGCAUCAUGAGUCUGAGUUGGCUGCAUGUCUAGUGCCCCACCAAGCUAUGGCAUUGCACCCAUGGCUUCUCGAACCGGCUUAGUGCAGGAGUCUUUUAGGCGUCCUCGUGCCAGCUCGGGGAAGAGGUAGUUCACACCAAGCCCCGUGUUGUUGUGGCCAUGGGGUGCACACCACAUAUGUCGUGGAGCCCAUGUGUGUGUGCUAGUGUGCCUUCCAAGUGUCUUAGGCACGCCUAAUGCCGUGCCAUGGUGCCCCUUGGUGUGGCCAAGUCUUGGCCUUGGUGCUCCCUUGAGUCACCUACACUUCCCACCUUAAAGAGCAAUACGGGCCAUUCUCAAGAUGUCUGGAGGAGACAUCAGACCCCCUUGAGGAGACGUAAUGGAAUAUUAAAAUAAAUAAUAGUUAUAUUCCAUAAAAACCUCACCCUUUGUUUGCACUAUCACCAACGUGCCUCAUGUGCAGGAUGUGCGUCAAGUGUGCGUGUGAGUGCGGACUGGUUCACGCGCGGAUGUGGGACUAGUGUGCGCACGGCUUGCGCCUGGUGCUCGUUUGGUGCACAUGUGGCCUGCGUCUGGUACGCCCGCGACUUGCAUCAGUCUUCUCAUUUGGCUUCUUGGGGCGUGAACCACCAAAGCUUCAGGUUUUCCCUGCUUCUCCACCUGGGAUCCUCAUGGUUGCAAGGCCUACCCAUGAGGCCCUUUUCUCCGUCAUCGGGUCAAGAGGCUAAGGAGCUGACAACAACCAAGAAGGCCAUUCCCUUUGUGAAGUCCUUUUUAUCUUUUGCUAUGAUUUGGGGACUUGAUUUUACUUUCUUCUAAAGAAAUUUGGGCUUAAGCUGCUCAUUCUAAAGUGUGACUUGGGGGUGGUUCUAGUGAAUAGAUAUAGUAUGUGCAAACAAAUAAUAACAUCCUCAUUUAUGUAAGAAGUUUAUGAUUUUUAUUGUCCUCCCUUUUUGGGUAUGAUGGUGGACUCUCUUUAAAUGGUUUAAGGAACAAUUGCUUGGAUGGCAUGGUAGUUUUGUGGGAAAGAAUGAAGGAGUUUUGGAGGAUGACUCUUCUAUGCUUAUUUUGGUGUGUAUGGAAAGAGAAGAGUAGGACCUUUAAAGGUGUUGAGCUAUUGGAAGGAGCAUUGACAUAUCAAUUCCUUUCUUUGAGGUGAGUGGAGAUGGUAACGGUGGUCUAUGAUGCUUAGAUCCUUGAAUUUCACCUAACGUACAUGUGUCGACAUGACAUGACCUGGUUGUGGGUAUUCAAAUACUCCUAUUUUGCUUUGGGUGUGGCUGUUUGAUUUUUUCAUUGAUAUUCUCUUAUUCUUUGAAUUUUCUUAGUAAUAAUUACAUUUGAUAAAAAGAAGAGUUAAUUGAAAAGUGAAUUUUUGUAAGAAUAUUUAGGAAUGUGAGGAAAAAAGGGGAUUAGAGGAUAAAGAUGAGAGCUUUUAAAAAGGAUAUCUUCCCUUCCGAUUUUUCUUCUUUAUCUAUCAAAAAAAUCUUCACUUCCAAUUUAUUUUUAAUUAACUUUUCUUUUAUUAUGCUGUAUCCCAAUACUUGUGUCCUUUUUUUGGAUCCCUUUUAGCUAAGUCCCUGUAUCCUAAAAUUUGAGUUGUGAAGGAUCAAACACCUAGACACAUACGCAUAUCCAAUGGGUCUCAUUCUUCUUUUCUGGAUUUGAUUGUUUGGGUAAUGGGGUAGGUGGCAUUUUGGCCUAUUGUACCUUUUCUCUCUCUAAAGUUGUCGGGUGAUGUGCUUUGUAGAGUCCCCAUGUACAAGGGUGCAGCCCCUUUUCUGUUAGGUGCUUUUCAUUAGUAUUCUAUUUGCUUAUAAAAAAAAAGGAACGAAAAAAGAAAAAAGAAAAAAGGAUAGAAGGCGAAAGCACCUUGUAGGAAGAGAAUCAAAGCACAGAAGGUACAAGAAAAGGAAAAGCACAAGGUUGAUCAUUAACUUGGAUGAACUCCUUUCAUCUUGCUAAAUUAUUCUGUUUCUUGUGUGGCUGUGCCUAUCAUAAAAGAAGGGGGAAAAUCCAGUUUCUGGAGUUUUGCUGUAACAGUACUUGCUGUCAUCAUUGAUUCUAUAGCGUGAGGAUUAAUUUAGAGAACUCAUAUGUUUAAGAUUUAUUUGCAAGUUAUAAUAUAGAGGUGGACUAUAUUUAUUAUUUCUUACCUAUCAUUUACUAUUUUUGGAGCUGUCCAGAAAAUUAUGUGGAAGCUGAAUAAGUCAAUCGCUAAAGAACUAUUACCCACACAGCCUGUGGACUUUGCAAUUGAACCAUGGUGGGGAGUAUGUCUUGUCAACUUUACCUUGGAAGAAUUUAAGGUGAGGUGAUUCAUGAAGUAUUGAGUAAAGGAUUUGCUUAUCCAAAUGAACUGCUUAAGAUUGUAUUCAAAUGCUUACAGAGAGAGUUUGUGAUUUGUUCUAACUAUAUUUUUCCCUGUUACUGUAGAAACUCUCAGAAGAAGAAAUGGCGACAAUAGAUAAAGUAUGUAAGGAAGAAGCAAACUCAUUUGUCCUUUUUGAUCCUGAUGUUGUAAAGGGUCUUUUCCGACGGGGAUUGAUCUACUUUGAUGUCCCUGUUUAUCCUGAUGACCGCUUUAAAGGUAAUUCACAAACAUGCUGAAUUUUCAUGCCAAAGUCUAUCUUUGGUUGCUUCUUCAUCUGAACCAUCUAUAUAAUGAGUUCUUACAUUAGAAUUUAAAAUGUAUAUUUUAUUUUUUGAAACAUACUAUUAUUCCAUAGUUUUGAUUGUUUUUGUUGAAUAUAAUGUAUGUAUAGUAUACUAUCUUUCCUUGUUAAUAUAGGUCACAUGUAUGGUAGUUAGGACUCCUAGCCUUGUAUAUAUAUAUCUCUCAAUUGUAAGUAGAGAUUACAAUGAAUGUGAAUAAGGUUUUUCUCCUUUCUCUCUCUCUCUCUCAACAUGGUAUCAGAGCCAAGGAAGAAAACCUAAUUCUUUCCUGUUUUCCGUGUCAUCAACUCCGGGAAACCUUCCGGUGACCGUGUUUCUUUCCGGUCACCUUCCCCAUCUCCCAAUACUUUCCGGUCAGUCGGAUCGUCGUUAGAAACCACUCACCGCUGGAAAAUUUUCCGGCGAAAUUUUCCGGCAACUUUCCGGCGAAAUUUCCGGCGAAAUUCCGGCGACCUAUUUUUCCGACACCGACCAUACCAGAAGGAGCGCCUGGAGGAGAUCUCCAACUUUUGUGAAGGCACCAGCACCAAAAGAGCAGCCACGCGCCGGCCACGCGCAAUUUUCCGGUCGGCGGUUGAAUCUCACGCGCCGGCGCGUGGGGGCGCGUGAGAGCUUUUCCGGCGACGUGCCUCCUCCUCCAGCUUCGCCUGACGCCGAUCAGCCUUCCCACCUCCCUGGUUCUCCCAUCCGAGCCCUGCACGUACCUCUUUUGGGGAUUUUUGUCUCCGUCGGCCCUCCAAACAGUCUUUCCGGCGAAGCUCCGACCACUUUUUCUCCACUCCAAUCCCUGCACGUGCCUUGGGAAGUGUUCUUCUCCCUUUCUGGUGGUAUCACACCGCGAUCUGAGGCCGUCUCCCUUUUUCGGUGGUGCCACGCUGCAAUCUGAAGCCGUAUUAGGGCUCUCUUUGAUCCAAACAUACUUCAUUCUCCAGAUAAGUGGAUAUGGCUACUAAAGCUUCCAUUUUUUCCUCUGUCAUAUCUGGAUCUCCUAUGAUUACUUCGGAGAAACUAGUUGGGAGUGAAAAUUAUCUUUCCUGGUCUGCCUCUGUUGAACUUUGGUUUAUGGGUCAAGGAUAUGAGGAUCACUUGAUUACACAGGAGGCAGAUAUCCCUGAGGUCGACCGCGUACAGUGGAGGAAGAUAGAUGCACAGUUGUGUAGUGUAUUAUGGCAAUCGGUUGAUCCCCGAAUUCUUCUUCAUCUUCAGGCCUAUAAAACUUGUUUUAAAUUUUGGACUCAGGCCAAAGGAUUAUACACGAAUGAUAUCCAGCGUCUUUAUAAGGUGGCUUCUGCUAUUGUCCAUCUCAGCCAACAGGACUUGGAUCUAUCUACUUAUAUUGGCCAGAUUGCCUCUCUUAAGGAGCAGUUCUUGACUGUGAUGCCUCUUACUCCUGAUGUUGGGGCUCAACAAACACAGCUUGACAAGUUCUUCAUGGUCCUUACUCUAAUCGGUCUCCGUCCGGAUCUUGAGCCUAUUCGUGAUCAGAUUCUUGGUAGUUCAUCAGUUCCGUCCUUGGAUGAUGUGUUUGCUCGCCUCCUCCGUAUCUCGUCCACUCAGACUUUGCCAUCUGAUAGCACUUCAGAUUCUUCUGUGUUAGUUUCUCAAACUACCUCUCGAGGAGGACGCAGUGGUACCCGAGGUAGAGGCCAACGUCCUCAUUGCACCUAUUGCAAUAAACUUGGCCACACUCGCGAUCGUUGCUAUCAGUUACAUGGAAGACCUCCUCGCACUGCCCAUAUGGCCCAGUCCUCUGAUUCUCCGCUGCCUCAGCCUCCGAGCUCCUCCGCAUCUCAGACAUCUCAGGCUUCUAUUGCCUCUGUUGCCCAGCCUGGUAAUGCCUCUGCCUGCCUUACCCACACAUCUUCUCUUGGACCCUGGAUUCUAGAUUCUGGAGCAUCUGAUCACCUAUCUGGUAAUAAGGAUCUUUUCUCCUCUAUUACUACUACCUCUGAUUUACCUACUGUUACCUUAGCUAAUGGUUCUCAAACUGUGGCUAAAGGUAUUGGUUUGGCCCUUCCUUUGCCUUCUCUACCUCUCACUUCUGUCCUUUAUACUCCUGAAUGUCCUUUUAAUCUUAUUUCCAUCAGCAAAAUCACUCGUACUCUUAAUUGCUCUAUCACCUUUUCUGAUAAAUUUGUGACCUUGCAGGACCGGAGUACGGGGAAGACGAUUGACAUAGGACGUGAGUCUCAAGGCCUCUAUCACCUCACCUCAGAUUCAUCUCCUGCAGUUUGCAUUUCCACUGAUGCUCCUUUCCUCAUUCACAAUCGUCUGGGCCACCCUAGUCUCUCCAAGUUCCAGAAGAUGGUUCCUCGUUUUUCCACUUUGUCGUCGCUUCUGUGUGAGUCAUGUCAGCUUGGGAAACAUACUCGUGUCUCGUUCCCAAAGCGUUUGAAUAAUCGGGCAAAGUCUCCUUUUGAGCUUGUCCACACUGAUGUUUGGGGUCCUUGUCGGACUGCGUCUACUUUAGGAUUUCAGUAUUUUGUCACUUUCAUUGAUGACUAUUCUCGAUGUACUUGGUUAUUCUUAAUGAAAAAUCGAGCUGAGUUAUUCUCUAUUUUCCAGAAAUUUUAUACUGAAAUCCAAACCCAGUUCAAUAUUUUUAUUCGUGUGUUACGCAGUGACAAUGCCAGGGAAUAUUUUUCAGCCCAAUUUACUUCGUUUAUGUCUCAUCAUGGGAUUCUUCAUCAGUCUUCUUGUGCUCAUACUCCUCAACAAAAUGGGGUAGCUGAACGCAAGAAUCGACAUCUUGUUGAGACAGCUCGUACUCUCCUCCUCCAUAAUCAUGUUCCUUUUCGUUUUUGGGGGGACGCUGUUCUUACCGCUUGUUAUUUGAUUAAUCGUAUGCCCUCCUCUGUUUUACACGAUCAGAUUCCUCACUCCCUUCUUUUCCCUAACCAACCACUUUAUUUCCUUCCUCCUCGUGUCUUUGGUUGUACUUGCUUUGUUCAUAUUCUCACUCCUGGACAGGACAAGCUUUCCGCCAAAGCCAUGAAGUGCCUCUUCUUGGGAUAUUCCAGACUUCAGAAGGGUUAUCGUUGUUAUUCCCUUGAGACUCAUCGGUACUUUAUCUCUGCUGAUAUCACCUUCUUUGAGGACUCACCAUUCUUUUCCACCACUUCUGAGUCUCUUCCUGUUUCUGAAGUCUUGCCCAUUCCCAUUGUCUCCCCACCUGAUGCUAUGCCCCCUCGACCACUUCAGGUUUAUCAUCGUCGCCCUCGUGUCGUUGCUCCUCUCCCUUUUCCUGAGGCACCUGCUGACUCACUUCCUAUCCCUUCGGCUUCACCUGCCCCGGCUCUGCCUUCUCCUAAUGACUU